GGAGCGGUAUCGAAGAGGCCAUAACGAGACUGACUCGAAAUCAGUUUGUCCAUUUACUUGGGCACGUGGGUUCGAAUCCCACUCGCUCCG
rnacentral:tRNA from 3 species